rnacentral:rRNA from 1 species
AGAGAGAGACAUGCGCGCAUAUCAAUAAGCGGAGGAAAAGAAACUAACAAGGAUUCCCUUAGUAACGGCGAGUGAAGCGGGAAGAGCUCAAAUUUGAAAUCUUCAAGGUUUUACCUUGACGAAUUGUAGUUUAAAGAAGUGUUUUCUGCUGAAGUUUUGGUAAAAGUUCUUUGGAAUAGGACAUCAUAGAGGGUGAGAAUCCCGUAUUUGACCAUUAUUUUCAGCUUUGUGAUACACUUUCAAAGAGUCGGAUUGUUUGGGAAUGCAGUCCAAAAUGGGUGGUAAAUUUCAUCUAAAGCUAAAUAUUGGCGAGAGACCGAUAGCGAACAAGUACCGUGAGGGAAAGAUGAAAAGAACUUUGAAAAGAGAGUUAAACAGUACGUGAAAUUGUCAAAAGAGAAGCGUUUGACACCAGUGUUGUUUUCUCGAAAAUCAAUUAAAAAUGGCUCGAUUUUGUAUUGUUGAGACCUUAAAAGCUCACUGUACAUUUUUCGUGUCUUUUUAAUGCACUUUUCGUUUAACAAGUCAACAUCAGUUUCUUUUGUUGUAAAAGGGUCAUUGGAAGGUGGCUUUCUUUUCGGAGAAAGUGUUUAUAGCCUUUGGCCUCUGCAAUCGAAGAGACUGAGGUCUGCAGCGUAGACUCUUCGGGGUUAGAUACAUUUGUGCUAAGUUAUAGCUUUUUAUAGACAACUUGUUGACUAUAAUUAGUCUUGUAGCUUACUCGCUUAUGCUAUUUUACCUACGCUUAGGAUGUUGAGUCGUAGAGCACGCAG